rnacentral:rRNA from 1 species
GACGAACGCUGGCGGCGUGCUUAACACAUGCAAGUCGAACGGAAAGGCCCUGCUUUUGUGGGGUGCUCGAGUGGCGAACGGGUGAGUAACACGUGAGUAACCUGCCCUUGACUUUGGGAUAACUUCAGGAAACUGGGGCUAAUACCGGAUAUGAGCUCCUGCUGCAUGGUGGUGGUUGGAAAGUUUCGGCGGUUGGGGAUGGACUCGCGGCUUAUCAGCUUGUUGGUGGGGUAGUGGCUUACCAAGGCUUUGACGGGUAGCCGGCCUGAGAGGGUGACCGGCGACAUUGGGACUGAGAUACGGCCCAGACUCCUACGGGAGGCAGCAGUGGGGAAUAUUGCACAAUGGGCGGAAGCCUGAUGCAGCAACGCCGCGUGCGGGAUGACGGCCUUCGGGUUGUAAACCGAUUUCGCCUGUGACGAAGCGUGAGUGACGGUAAUGGGUAAAGAAGCACCGGCUAACUACGUG